AAUGAAAUCGCUCGUAUCAUCACAUUUUCUCUUUACUCUCCCGCCCCGCGCAACAGGAAACAAAAAAUUACAACCGUCUCUUUCCUCUUUGCCUCUCUCGUGUUUUGUAUCUUUCUCCCUUCUUUCCUUCUACUGCGUCUUUGUUCCUUUUUCUCUCUACCUCCUGCCCCUCCUCCUGUCGCCGUUUCUCUUUCGGACUUUCCUCUUUUUUUUUCCUCGCUUUUCUCCCCCUCUCCCCUGUCUCGUUUGCCGCGGUGCUGGCUUUCCGCUCCAUCCGCAUAGAUCCCCUUCCUGAAUGCAUCGAUACCGUUGUGCGGAAACAGACACUCCAUCAAACGUACCCCAGUCAGCUAAUUACGACCGGUACCACCUGAUUCGAGCUUGCACGCAUUUCUUCUCCCCAUCUUUCACGGGUACAGCUCGAUAUCUCUCUCUUUCGCGCAUUUUCUUUCCCUUUCGCGCUUCUUUCUUAUUGGAUCCUUACUAGCUUGUCCCUUCCUUCCCAGCGCGGCAGCGAGCGCGUUUCUCUCUCUCUCCUUCCGCGUUUUUUGACAUUAGCUUUGGCGAAGCGACGUGUGAACUGCAUCUGCUCGAAUUUGGUGCUUCCUCCCUCCUUUCAGCCUCCCUAUUGACAAGAGCACACGCCAAAACGUAUAUGGGAGUGAAUUUCAUAGUAUCGUUUCCAGCGCUAGCUUUCUAUCUCGCUCUUCGGGGCUCGGCGUCUUCUCACUGACUUUUUAUUUACCUUCUUUCUAUUGGUUUCGUUCGUUUCCUGCCACCUCCCUCUUGAGUGUGCUGUAUUGUGCACAGCACCCCUCAGUCGCCGCGCCGAAGCCACGUGCAGCUGAGGUACAUCGUUCAUUGUCGGCAUCGCCCCUCCCCUCAUUUUUCACAUUCCUCUUUCCAUUCAGGCGCUGCGGUGGAACAGCGCAUUACCCGUCUCCCCUCUCCUCUCUCACAGCCAUGCGUCGCUCUCUGCUGCUUGCCUGCUCCGCCGCCAAGGGUGGGAGCUGGGCAUCCAUGCCCGAUGCAGAGAUCAUGAAGCAGGUGGAGAAUAAGAAGAUUGCAUUUUACGGCCUUGAGCAGGCUCUUGCACCCGACUAUGACCGCGCCAUCGCCAUUCGUCGUGAGAUUGUGAAGAAAAAGAUGUGUCCAUCAACCGCUGCCACACAUCCGCUGGAGAGGGUUCCCUACAAGAACUACGACUGGAGCAGUGUUGUCGGCCAGAGCUGCGAGAACAUCCUCGGCUACGUUCCGGUACCGGUAGGGUUGGCUGGCCCGCUGCUGUUGGAUGGAAAGGAAGUGGCACUGCCGAUGGCGACGACGGAGGGCGCGCUGGUCGCGAGUGCGCACCGCGGUGCUCGCGCCAUCAACCUGAGCGGCGGAUGCCGGACAGCGGUGCUGAAGGAAGGCAUGACGCGCGCCCCUGUAGUGGAGGUGAACUCUUUCGACGAGGCCAUCACCGUGAUCAAGUUCUGUGAGGAGCGGUUCGACGUUCUGAAGGAGGCCUUCGAGUCGACGACCCGCUUCGGGAAGUUGCUGAGCAUCAAGUGCGCCAUGGCGGGUCGCCAGGUGCAUAUGCGCUUCUCUGCCUUUACUGGAGAUGCCAUGGGCAUGAACAUGAUCACGAAGGGCUGUGACAAGGCGCUGCAGGUGCUGCAGCAGCACAUUCCCUCUGUGCGAGUGCUGACCUUGUCGGGCAACUUCUGCACUGACAAGAAGCCGUCCGCACUGAACUGGGUGGAGGGACGCGGGAAGUCGGUCGUGGCGGAGGCCGUCAUCAAGCGUGAUGUGGUCGAGGGUGUUCUCAAAUGCACGGUGGACAGUGUUGUGUCGCUGAAUGUGACUAAGAACCUGCGCGGUUCUGCGCUUGCCGGUUCCAUCGGCGGCUUCAACGCACACGCUGCCAACAUCGUGGCCGCGCUCUACAUCGCCACUGGCCAGGACCCCGCACAGAUAGUGGAGUCCGCAACCUGCAUGACGACGGUUGACAAGGCUGGUGAGGAUCUCGUGAUCAGCCUCACGAUGCCGAGCAUCGAGGUCGGCGCCGUAGGCGGUGGCACAGGUCUGUCGUCGCAGCGGGCCAUGCUGGAGCUGAUGGGGUGCGCGGGCUCUAACAAGGAGGACCCAGGUGCCAACUCCCGCCAGAUCGCGCGCGUCGUCGCUGGCGCAGUCAUUUGCGGGGAGCUGUCCCUCUUGUCCGGCCUUGCAGCUGGCCACUUGCUGAGCGCCCACAUGAAGCUGAACCGCAAGCCUCCGACUCAGUAAACUUAAGCACGGAAAUUGCGAUGUUGCUUUGGCUGAGCCGGCGUGCUCCUACUGGUGCUUCCGUAUGCUUUAUUCAAAGGACAGGGCUGCCGCAAGAUUCACUUGGCAUGACCCUGCGGUUGCGCUCUUGCGUGGUUGUGCGCCAAUAUUUCUCAGAACGCGCAACGUGUGUUCUUUAUUUUGUUUUUUUUUUUUCGCCCAGCUGUUCGCUCCUUGAUGACGGGAGGCACGUCGCAACGCGUGGCAUCCUCAUGGCCCCGGGCCGCCCCCCUUAUCCCCCUAUCCCCCUGCCAGUGCCGAGCCGCCUCGGGUGGUGACAGGGGCACCUACGGCGUGGGAAAGUCAGAGCGAUGCAUGGCUGCUGAUGCCGGUGCUCAGGUCGUAGAUGGCGUUGCGUCGGAGCGACCUGCGGCAGCGAGCGCGUUUGCACCACCCACAUGAUGGGCAGGGUGUCAGCGUGACCCAAGCGUGUCUCGCCCGGCCCUCGCUGCUUACUGGGGGAGAGCUUGGAGCGCCACCCCGAGGGAGAUGCACCGGCGGGGCGGCCGGCAUGAUGGGAGCGGCUGUGAGGUAACCUGCGAGGCAGAGGUGGGUAGAGUACGAGGCAGGGCCCGUGCGCAGGUGGCCGAGCCGGUGCGCUGCCUUAAUGCACGUGCCGGCCGCUGCGUUGCACCGGGCGACGGGGCCUGUGACGUGCCCGGGGGUGUCUGGAGAGGAGCUGAGCUCGUGCUCUGUGGCAGAAUGGUCGCCUUCCUAGAAUAAGAGCGUAUCUGCUGCACAGUUGUGUUCACGUCGCGCGUGCGAUGGGAUGGGAAUCUCCGUUGCUCCUGUUCUUUCGUUUGCGCUUUGGUGGACCGUCUUCCGUCCGCUCUCCCUCUCUCGGUUUACUUCUUUAGCUUGUCUAAGCGAUUCUGUGUGAAGGCAUGCUGGGGUGCUCGUGUGCGGCUUCGUUGUUUUUGUGCGGCGAGUGCUCCAUGAUAGCGACUUCCGUUGCUCUUAUUGUUAAGGCUCAUCAAGAGCCACACAGAGCAACUCAAGAGGGCGAAGAAGCGGAGCAAUGAAAGAGCUGAUCGUAGGCAGCGUAUGGAACAGUGUAAACAACAGCACGAGUAACAGCUUUGACAUGUCGGCAAGUGCGUAUCACCUGACUCGCAUCCACCACAACACAUCCACCACGUCAGGAUACUGCUUCCCUCCGUUUUUCCUGCCGUGCUGUUGAAGAAACGACAGAUUUUCUGAGUUUUCUCCGACUCUCUGUAGGUGCGCAGAUUUUGCUUGUCGUAUUGCCAAAGGCGAAAGCCACAAGGGACCGGCGAGGCUGGCUGGGUGGCAGGUGUGCGCCUAGUGCUUCCAUUCGAGAGCAGACCUGUGCACAAGGCAAUCUCUCUCUGAUGCACACCGAGCGCAUUCCGUCCCACUGGGCAUACUUGCAACGUGGGCUCACUCUCUCGUAAGCCCUAUUUAUCUCUCACUGUUUCUUCCCCGCGAAGAAGACCAGGUGCAUAACGGGGCGCUGCUCAAGCAGCCCUGACCAUACUCGACAAGCCUACACAUCGAAGUACAGCGUGAUCAUCGGCCACAUACAAGCGUUUGUGUCUGUGAGAGCACGGAUCUUCACUGGACGACAGCGUAUUUGACUGGAGAUUUUGCUAUCGAAAAGGACGGUGCCUUCUCUCUCGUCAGAGAUGGCACUGUGACGCAUACUACUGCUUUUGUGCUGUUGCCCUGCCGUUUGUGCGCGUGUUACGGCGCGCGACGCAAUGUCUUUCUCUUUCCCUGCUCCAUCCUAUCUCUUCACUCUGUUCGUCUCUCGCCGCGGGUUUGUGCUGUCGUCCACCACCCCUCCCACCUCCCCGUCGCUUCCCCUCCUUUACCUUCGCAUGUUUCAACAUUCGGAUCCACACUGAAACAACAG
rnacentral:misc_RNA from 1 species